GUUCCACCCGUGGGAGUUUCCAAAGCCUGCUCAUCGUGUGUAAGAACUGCUGAUGUCAAGGAAGCGUGUACACAGUGUGACCAGUUUGUCUGCCAGAACUGCAGCAGGCUCUGCAGCUGCUGUAACACCGUUACCUGUUCUUUGUGCUCCACUUACUGAUUAUGCUGAUGUGGGAGAGCAAGUUGUCUGCAAUGGUUGUUCAGUAUUUCAAGUCUGAACUUUGAUGAAAUAGCCUUUUUGGCUAAGAUGUCUGUAAAUUUCAUGAAGUUUCCUCCUUACGGCUGGUCAGUUAAUCCUUUUAGUAUGUGAAUUAAUUAUGGAAUUUCUAUGUUUUAUAUCUUUAUAUUGUACUUUUUAAUAUUGUAGCUAAAUAAACUUCUAUAUUUUAAGACUUUC